UAAUACUAAGACUUUCAGGGCAGGAA
rnacentral:piRNA from 1 species